UAAGUUUGACCCAUUGUCUUAGCAGUUGGAUAUUACAAUUAUCCCAUCGCAUCUUACUAAUAUAGAACAUGCACCUCGCGUAGGUGAAACCUACAUUAUCCGAUACUAGUCUUGAUGAGUGCUAAAACUUGGAAAGCAAACAUGUAUAAUAUUAUUAUAAUUUGUUUUGUUAAGUUUGACCCAUUGUCUUAGCAAUUGGAUAUUACAAUUAUCC
rnacentral:lncRNA from 1 species